CUCCGGGAGGCAUGAGAGACGGACGGAGAAGGCGAGGCAGAGGCUCCAAGUCCGAGAUUUUUGUCCCUAGCCAGCCAGCCGGUUGCAGGAGUAGCAGCAGCUCCCACUGCAGGCCUUGUGCGGAACUGCACCCUCAUUUAUCCCACCUGAACUGGCCUCAUUGAAGGGGGGGGGGAGAGACCGGAGAGCAAGGAGUACAAACAAAGAGUUGGGGUAGCCUCAACAAUGCUGUGUGGGUGGUUUAUGAGCCUGCCAGGGCAUGAAGAUCUUCCUAAGGUAUACAAAGCAGCUGACAAGGAGAGAAAAACCAUACAUAAUAAGCAUAAGCAAUAUUUGAGGCAGUGGCCAGGAGCGCUUUUUAUCAGUUUUGGCUGAUACUUCAGCUACGUCCAUUUCUGGAGGUAAAUGACCUUAAAACAGUGGUACAUAUGCUCGUAAGCUCCAGGCUUGACUCCUGUAAUGCGCUCUACGUGGGACUGCUUUUGUAUGUAGUCUGGAAACUACAAUUGGUACAGAAUGUGGCAACCAGAUUGGGACAACACGAAGGGACCACAUAACACUGAUUUUAAAAGAACUGCACUGGCUGCUGAUAUGCUUCUGGGCAAAAUACAAAGUGCUGUUUAUUGCCUAUAAAGCCCUUAAUGGCUUGGGCGCAGGGUAUUUAAGAGAGCGCCUUCAGAGAGCAUCAUGAACUCUGCUGCCUAUUAUGAUCUUCUGGAGAGGUCCAGUUAUGGUUGCUGCUGGCUCAUUUGGUGGUGACUCGUGACCGAACCUUCUCUUUGGCUGCCCCAGGGCUUUGGAAUAUGCUCCUUGUUGAACUAAGAACAUCUCCUUCUCUGUUUGUUUUCAGGAAGACCUUCAAGAUAUACCUGUUCUUGCAGACUUUUAACUGGAAUUAAUUUUUAUAACUUGUUUUAUGAAAUUGUUUUAUUGUGGAAUUUUAAUCUGUUUUUAUUUUUAUUUUUAUUGUUUUAUAUUUUGAACACUGCCUAGAGAUGUACAUAUAGGCAGUAUAAAAAUAUGAUGAAUGAAUGGAUAAAUUUCAUUCAUCAGCACUAGCACAUAUAAAUGUGAACACCCUUUCUGGACCACCUUUCCCUAAUAGAAUGGGGGUGGGAUGGUGCAUCCAAACUGCACCUCUAAAUGUGCAACGAGUACCAGAUGCACUGGGAGUCGGGAAGGACAAGUGCAUUCACAGCAUGUGCACACUGUUACCACAUGUACCAGAGCCAGAAGACAAAGUACAGGUGACCCUCGAAUACUGUGGGUUUGGCUUCUCAGUUUCUGUACUUUUGCAGAGUCCAUUAUAGUGACAAGCAGUGGAGGGUCCUGAGGAACUGUUGUGAAAGCUUAGAUAAGGUGAUAUCACAGACGCAUUUCCAUGUCAACACAGUGAUGUUGCAGGAGUGUCUCCAUAUCAGUGUGUUGUGUUGUGGGGACAUAUCCAAGUCAGUGUGGCAAUGUCACGUGAAUGUCUCCAUGUCUAUGUGAAUGGAUUGGCCCCUACCAUGCCUGACCAACAUCAGGACAUUGUUGGUGUGCUGCCCUGUGAUGGUAGGGGGAUGAUUCUGGAGCUGCAUGUUUUGGGUACUUAUUGCUCAUUUUCUCCUUCUGUGUUGUACUAGGCUGUACAACACAGGUUGUUGUACAGCCUAUAGGUUGUACAUAGGAUCCUGACUAACAGAGGCAGUGUCUGUCUAACUGCACCAUUGAAUUUCUUGGUGGCGGCGGGCGGGUGUGUGUGUGAGAAAGACAUGCAAUGAUACCAACCUUGGCAGUAAUCUUACUGUCAUUUAGACAGUUCACCAGUAGGGACACUUAAGGAGUGCCUUCUUAUUUGCCUCAGUGAAUGUUCUUUCAAACCCCAUCCACUAGCCAAAUGGUCAUUAAAUAUCUCUUGGACUCCGGGGCAUUUCCUGGAGAAAGGGCAUUACUGAUACACCAGUUUAAAUGUGCAGUGUUGACAUGCCCUAAUAAGUAUUGAGGAAGUUCACUAAUUUGCAGAUUACACACACACACACACACACAUACUAUCAUACACAAGUUUAUCUCUUUUAUAUUUUAGGGAGAUCUGCCAUCUGGCAAGGACCCAAGGACUCAUGAGAAGAUUGUGGGUAAUGGAAAAAUAACUCACAUUUAAUAUCAGUUCUGAGUUUAUUUCCAUGUAUGUAGGAGAAUGUUUGUUCAGGGCCUGAAGUCGCCUUAGGCAGGGAAAAUACUAUUUUGAGUCACAGAGGCCAUGGGAAUGUUCUGCUGUCAGGCUGCCCACUUGAUUUGUCCCAUGUUUGGGGAGAUUUAAGAGGCAAAUUGAAGGAGCAGCAUUUGAGCACCUGGAUGCUUCAGAAAUAUGACUACUUCAGCUAUAAGGCCUAUCUACAAUCCAUGCCAGCACCAAAUAACUCUGCAGUUUUCAGUGUCCUGCAUUUUGCCACAGAUACUUUGCUAUGCAUGCUGCCCCCCCCAAAAGCUGAGAUAUGCUAAUAGAAAAUAAUAAUUUCCCCUCAUGUUCCUUGUAGAAACACUUAGAAGUAAUUAUUCCAGAAACUUAUGCAGUUUUUUUCUUGGAAUUGGUUACAUUAGUAGUGAACUGUUAUGUUUACCACAAAACAAUUUCAGGCAAUAUAGGUCAUGCAUAAUUGUAUGUUCCAUUAAGAGCUGUAUUUAUCUCUUUCUUACUCAUUUAAUUUGGAGGCAGGAGAAGCCCAUCUUGCAAUAAAUAUCAGCCUGUUAUACCUGG